UAGGGAAUCUUCGGCAAUGGACGAAAGUCUGACCGAGCAACGCCGCGUGAGUGAAGAAGGUUUUCGGAUCGUAAAACUCUGUUGUUAGAGAAGAACAAGGACGUUAGUAACUGAACGUCCCCUGACGGUAUCUAACCAGAAAGCCACGGCUAACUACGUGCCAGCAGCCGCGGUAAUACGUAGGUGGCAAGCGUUGUCCGGAUUUAUUGGGCGUAAAGCGAGCGCAGGCGGUUUCUUAAGUCUGAUGUGAAAGCCCCCGGCUCAACCGGGGAGGGUCAUUGGAAACUGGGGGACUAGAGAGCAGAAGAGGAAAGUGGAAUUCCAUGUGUAGCGGUGAAAUGCGUAGAUAGAUGGAGGAACACCAGUGGCGAAGGCGGCUCUCUGGUCUGUAACAGACGCUGAGGCUCGAAAGCGUGGGGAGCAAACAGG
rnacentral:rRNA from 1 species